CUGGCCGCCCUUCCCUCACCUCCACCAGAGUGGUGUGUAGCCGGAAUAUCUAGCCGCCCUUCCCUCACCCCCACCAGAGUGGUGUGCAGCUGGAAUAUCUGGCCGCCCUUCCCUCACCUCCACCAGAGUGGUGUGCAGCUGGAAUAUCUGGCUGCCCUUCCCUCACCUCCACCAGAGUGGUGUGCAGCUGGAAUAUCUGGCCGCCCUUCCCUCACCUCCGCCAGCGUGGUGUGCAGCUGGAAUAUCUCCUCAUGGAAAUGGAGGCUCAGGGAGGGUUGGGAGCUUCGGGGGGCAGUUCAGGCCUCUCCACCCAGAUGGGGAGGGGUCAAGUGCCCUAAGCUAGCCAGCUGAGUUGGUGUCAGGCCCUCAGUUCCAGAAGGGAGCUGAGGGUGGGUAGGUGGGGGAGGGAAAGGCACAGGUGUGUGUGUGUCAGGGGCUAGGGGGCCUUGUGGUCUCAGGUGCUGCUGGGUGGGCAGCGGGCUGUGGCUGUCAGAGAUGAGAUGGACAGUCUGCCAGGAGGGCAUGCCCUGAAGGGUGAGGAGCCUCUGUGAGGAUGAAGGGCAUAGGCGUCUGUGCGUGUGAGGGUGUGACAGGGCAGAAGUGUGCAUGUGGCUGCCCAUUGCCCUGAAUUUGGGGACAUGCCUGGGGAUGGCUGGGAGCCUAGAGACUGGGGUGGGAGGAGACAGAGACAGUGAGAGAUCCAGGGAGGGGUAAGGCCACAGGACAGAGGUAGGAGGCAGGGCCCGGGAGGGAGCUGGGCUUCCCGGGCAGCCCUUAAGUGGUGCCCCUCCCCAUCCAUCAGCCCAGCCCUCACCUGGUAUUUGGCCAGCAGCUUGCUCCUCCAAUGGGCAUGGGGGAGGUCAUGGAGGGAGAGGCGCAGGUUGUGGUAACUGUCCUUGAACAUUAGGGGUUUCGGCUCCUCCACCAAGUAGCCGCCCAGAGUCCGCUCCAGCUCCAGCACCUCCUGUGGGCCAGGGGCAUGGGGAAGGGGAACCCAUCACACUUGGCCAAUGGGCCUCUUCUGUGGCACUCUGCG
rnacentral:lncRNA from 1 species